UAGUCCACGCCCUAAACGAUGUAUACUUGAUGUCGGGAUGUUCGGUCGUCUCGGUGUCGUAGCUAACGUGUUAAGUAUACCGCCUGGGGACUACGGUCGCAAGACUGAAACUCAAAGGAAUUGACGGGGGCCCGCACCAGCGGUGGAACAUGUGGUUUAAUUCGAUGAUACGCGAGGAACCUUACCUGGACUUAAAUGUAGAACGACGUUUCGAGAAAUCGGAAUUCCCUUCGGGGCGGACUACAAGGUGCUGCAUGGUUGUCGUCAGCUCGUGCCGUGAGGUGUUGGGUUAAGUCCCGCAACGAGCGCAACCCCUAUUGUUAGUUGCCAGCACAUUAUGGUGGGGACUCUAACAAGACUGCCUGCGCAAGCAGAGAGGAAGGAGGGGACGACGGUCAAGUCAUCAUGGCCCUUACGCCCAGGGCUACACACGUGCUACAAUGGCGCAUACAGAGGGUAGCUACCUGGCAACAGGAUGCCAAUCUCAAAAAGUGCGUCUCAGUUCGGAUUGGGGU
rnacentral:rRNA from 1 species